rnacentral:misc_RNA from 1 species
UCCUGGUUAACCCAGGCAGUCUCGCUAGAGUGCCUACCAUUACGUACUGGCAACUAACGACAAGGGUUGCGCUCGUUGCGGGACUUAACCCAACACCUCACGGCACGAGCUGACGACAGCCAUGCAGCACCUGUGCAGAUGUCUCUUGCGAGAACGCGCUAUUUCUAGCGUUGUCAUCUACAUGUCAAACCCAGGUAAGGUUCUUCGCGUUGCAUCGAAUUAAACCACAUGCUCCACUGCUUGUGCGGGUCCCCGUCAAUUCUUUUGAGUUUUACCCUUGCGAGCGUACUCCCCAGGCGGUACACUUAUCGCGUUCGCUACGGCACAGGUGGGGUUGAGUCCACCUACGCCAAGUGUACAUCGUUUACGGCAAGGACUAC